rnacentral:rRNA from 1 species
UACGUAGGGUGCAAACGUUGCUCGGAAUUAUUGGGCGUAAAGCGCACGUAGGCGGCUUUGCAAGUCGGAUGUGAAAGCCCUCGGCUCAACCAAGGAAGUGCAUCCGAAACUGCAGAGCUUGAGUACUUAAGAGGAUCGCGGAAUUCCCGGUGUAGAGGUGAAAUUCGUAGAUAUCGGGAGGAACACCAGUGGCGAAGGCGGCGAUCUGGGAAGAUACUGACGCUGAGGUGCGAAAGCGUGGGGAGCAAACAGG